ensembl:lncRNA
CAGAGACAGCUCCUGGUCCCUUUGCCAGGAGUCCCUCAAGAAGACCAAUCCACUCAAUUGCAACAUAUGUGCAAAGGGCCCAGAUUGGUCACAUGCAAGUUCUCUGAUUGCUGGUUCAGUCUCUGAACCCAUUAGCCCAGGAAAAUGGAUGAUGUAGUUCAAGCACAAACCUCAAAUUAUUCUCAAGAUAAAUGUAGUUCUCACUCACCAUCAGUGAAGCGUCUUCAUUCAGCAGAGAAAGACCAUCAGAGAAAGACAUAACUGGUCAAAAUGCAGAGAACAAUUGACUGCUUGUGCAUUGCUCUGAUUGCAACAUCUACAGAAAAACACAGAAUGGAGGACAGGUUAAGUACCAAAGUACCAGGACAUCUGCUGGAGAACAUCUUCUAUAUAUGACCUGGGAGCUGCAUCCAUGAAGUCUCAAUAGUAUGGUCACCUAAACAAGGCCUAAACAAUGAAAUCACCAGUUGAUAUGCUAACAUAGACAAAGGAAAUAUAACUGAGUCCUGUCUUUAGAUGAAUAGCUACAGGAAGGGAUAAUAGUGGAACAGGAAAAGGAAAUAUGUGGUGCCUCUCUUGUGGUUAUUAUAAUUCCUCAAUGUAAGGAAAGUGUUAUAACAAAGCUCAAAAUAAUUGUCCAAAGUGGGGAUCAAUUUCAUGGAGACUUUAAACUGUAAGAAACUUGUUUAAAAGAUUACAAUUUUUAAAAAGGAUAAAACACACUCAGGGGUGGAAUCUGGCAAGCCCCAAAGAUCUCUACUAUCUUUAAGUGCUUUCCUCCUACUUAAUCUUAUUUGAAAGAUGCAGGGGUAUGUGUUGCAUUCCAGCUCUUUCCUGUUCUGGUAGGGUUUCUGGGAGGAGAAACCACACAGAAGGCUUAUCAAGACAUUAAAGCAAAGCUGCUGCUACUUAAAACACAUUACCCUGAGAGUGGGGAGACACACAGCCAUCCCUGCUUGUGAAAAAAGCACUUAAACACUCAACACAAAGCACUCUUAGAUCCAUGUUCCCAAUCCCAGACUCUUAAGCACUGGAAUCAGCACUGCCGUUUAGUGUGGUUCACAGCGUGUUUUCUUUAUGCAGGGAACAGAAGGGAGGUUUCUAUAGUGGGCUGUUUUUAAUUAUUGCGUUUAUGCAACACAUUGUAUCUUCAAAGAUUUUUAAGAGGCUGGAGAAAUGGCUUGCUAGUUGAGAGAGCUUCUUCCUGUUCCAAAGCAUCUCUAAGUUCAGUGUUCAGCAAUAUGUUAGGUGGCUAACAACCAUUUAUAACUCCACUUUCAAGGUAGGCAACAUCCUCUUCUGGCCUCUGAGGACACCCACACACAAGUGGCAUAUACUUAUAAAGACAAACAUUAUCAUAGGAAAAAAAUUAAAAACAGAAACUUUGUCAAGUCUACAUCUCUGAUGGAAAUUUUACUUUGGAAAAGGGAUAUAUGUUUAUCUGUAUGGAUAAAAUAUUGUGACAAAAUGUGAAAAAUAGGUGGUCACUUAGGUUUUUUGCCAGUCUAGUCUCAGGAAAUACAGUCUGAACUACUGGGGCAACUAAGCGAUCCAGACAAGAGACUUUCUGCUAUAAUUUGAAUGUCCCCACAAAACUGAUGUUGAUAAUCAAUCUGAUUUCAAAUUUUAGAGGCAUGACAAAGGGUUAUAUGAAUUGAUCACAAAUACUCUGCUUUCAUAAGAAAAUUAAUUUCUUCAUGAAUUAAGACAUAAGUGAUUGAAUGAAUGAACAGAUCAGUUGGUUAGUCCCAACUGAAAAAAAUAAGUUUUGACCUUCUGUUGUGUGUGGCCUCUUAUUGUGCAUUCAAGGAGAAAUCACUAACAAGAAAACACUUCAAUUACAAAGUCCCAUUAUGUUGGACUUCAACUUCCUGAAUUGUGUAUUACCCAGCAUGUGAUAAUUAUUUAUAGCAACAGAAAAAGACUAGGUUACCAAUAUAAUUAUGUCAAUGAACCUCAUUCUUAUCUUUUUGUUAUUGUGGUAUCUUAUAAUACACUCAUUUAAUUUGUCAUUUUUUACUUAAUUUUUCUUGUAUGAAGAAUGACAAGUAUCUAAGGAUUAUAUACAGGAAAUUAUGACCUGAAAGUCAGUAUCCUAACAAGUAGCUAGUAAUCAUAUUGCAUGAAAGAUGAAUACAGGAUAACACCUGGUGUUUCUUUCUGCUAAUUUCAAUGUGUGCAAGGUAAUGGGUGUGGUAGAUCUUUUUUUGAUUUUUAUUUAUUCUUCUCUAACAUAUUACAUCCCAACUGCAGUUUCCCUCCCUUCUCUCCUCCAAGGUCCUCUGUCCAACUUCCCUUAUGGGAGUUGGUUCUCUCUUUCUACUUUGGGGGUCUAGAAAUGGAAUGAGGCUAUCAAGCUUGUGGUAGUAGCUUUAUUCACUGAGACAUCCUGCUAACUUAUUUUAUAUUCUUUAUCCAUGUUUUCUCAGAUCCUCUAAACCUACUAUUUGUUAUUUAUGAAUAUGAUAAUACUAAUACAAAAUUAUAAAUCUGGACUCUUGUUAAUUUAUUUUUUAAACAAGCAUUUUAUUUAGAAAUAGGCUUACCUCAGUUACACAAUCCUCCCAUCGCUACACUGUCAGUUUUGGGACUACAAGGAUGUAC